rnacentral:lncRNA from 10 species
UCGAACCGAGACUGGGAAAAGAUAGUACGGACCCACCGCACGGCCCCUCCGCCGCCACCGCCGCCGCUGCUGCGUCAACGUGCUACGUCAUUUCCGGCUCCCUGUCACCGGGAGUGGGCGGGCCAUUUCUUGUUCUCUCUCCCGCUCUCGGAAGCUUUCGUCUCGUGGGUGCGAAAGGUAACCGAAGCGGCUCAGGAAGGCAGCUGUCACUGAGCCCCUGGAACAGAGCGAGAGUAUCGUAAGUAACCAGGCUCAGCCGGUUUCUCAGGCCGCUCUAGUCAAAUAAACCAUAAAGAUCAGACUCGGGCUUCUUCACUUCCUUCUCUCCGUGGUUUCGCCAUUAGCUUCCGGUUCCGGGGAGGGGCCG